UGAGGAAUAUUGGUCAAUGGACGCAAGUCUGAACCAGCCAAGUAGCGUGCAGGAUGACGGCCCUAUGGGUUGUAAACUGCUUUUAUAUGGGGAUAAAGUGGGGAACGUGUUCCCUUUUGCAGGUACCACAUGAAUAAGGACCGGCUAAUUCCGUGCCAGCAGCCGCGGUAAUACGGAAGGUCCGGGCGUUAUCCGGAUUUAUUGGGUUUAAAGGGAGCGUAGGCUGUCUAUUAAGCGUGUUGUGAAAUAUACCGGCUCAACCGGUGGCUUGCAGCGCGAACUGGUCGACUUGAGUAUGCAGGAAGUAGGCGGAAUUCAUGGUGUAGCGGUGAAAUGCUUAGAUAUCAUGACGAACUCCGAUUGCGCAGGCAGCUUACUGUAGCAUAACUGACGCUGAGGCUCGAAAGUGCGGGUAUCAAACAGG
rnacentral:rRNA from 1 species